UAAAUCAACAGAACUGCCAUCUUUUACAGUAU
rnacentral:guide_RNA from 1 species